UGAUUUUUAUUUAAUUCGUGUUUUCUAGCACCAUAUAGUGGACACAGGAAAUGAUAUUUAACUCCUUCAUGCAAUGUUAGAUAACAGACAACUAAAGUAACACAUCUUUGUCCAGCAAGGACUCGUGGCACCAUAUAUUUAAACGUACAACAGACAUGAAGUGCAAUCAGGCAGAUUCCCAGAACCAUGGAGACAAGCUUUGUGAUUCGUCAGCUUCCAGAAAUUUUAUUGACGUGAUUGGUGCUACUGGUGGCUCAAUUACUGGGCGUUGUGGUGGCCUGAUGACAUGUCAUCAUGCAAGCUUACAAAAACAGCCUGCUUGAGCUUGGCUCUUCCUACUUGGUCACACCAACAUCGAGCCCGGGUCUGAAGACAUCUAUAUGCCCAUGACAGAAGCCCUUCAAAUGCGCCACGGCCCGACAUGAGCGGAGGCGCGAGGGCCCAUUCAGUGCUGCCUGCAUCUUAAGCUAACAUUUGUUCCUGUAGAUUUGAAUAAUUUGCAUUCCAGUGCAGUUCAGUUUUGCUUUGCCCCUGAGGCUAAAUAAAGACAAUUUUUCAGUUCAUACUGGCUGCUGUCUCCUGCAUUUGGGUCCACCUGUUCUGCUCCACCUAAAAAUAUACUUAUAAACUUAUAUAAAUUGAACAUAUCUCUAUCACAAAACAAGGUGUCAAGCAUUCCUGAGGCAGGCUCAGAGCUGGACAUUAACUAGGCAUCUGAGACAGAUGAGUGCUGUCAUCUGUUCCUAUAGCAUGUCCCUGUUAAUUGUUGAAUGCAUGUUUGCAUGUUUCAUUUUCAAUUUAUUUUGCUUAACUUUGACUAUUUUUUAAUUUCAGGUUUUGUAUGUUAUGUUUACUGUUGGAAUAAUAGAUCAAUUUGCAAACCAAUAAGAAAAAUACAUUUGUCUACCUAUAACUUUGUUUUGUAGCAUCUUGACAUAAACAGAAUACCAUUGAAAUUCUGUCUGCAUCAGAUGAGGUACAUUUUUCAUCAUGAAAAAAUUAGAAUAAUGUACAUUAUUAAACUGCAUGUUCUGCAACACAAUUAUUAUGAUAUAAAUCCGACACUCUCAUUUUUACAAUUUCCUUUAAAGUGCCACCAUGAGCACAGAUGCAGAGAUGGAACAGUAUGGCCCUGCGGCCAUUUACCUCCAAAAACCAGAGUAGAGGAUUGAGGCCCUGACUGCUCCAUUUGAUGCCAAUGCAUGUGUCAUGUGUAUACUUGUCAAAAAGGAAGGUGGCAAAGCCACGGUUGAGACAGACAGGGAAAGACUGUCACUGUAAAGGAGAAGGACAUCCAUUCAAGGAAUCUUCCAAAGUUCAAUAAAAUGGAGGACAUGGCCAUGAUGACCCACUUCAACAGGCCAUCUGUGCUGUAUAACCUCAAAGAGCGUGAUGCAUGAUGGAUGAUCUAAACCUACUUUGGAUUGUUUUAUGUUGGUGUGAAUCCCUACAAGUGGCUUCCCGUGUAUGAUUGAUUCACCACCCCAUAUCUUCUCCAUCUCUGAUAAUGCCCAUAAGUUAAUGCUUACUGGUAAGAUUAAAGUAACUACCGUUAAAUUGAUUGAUAGAACUGACCUUAAACAUAAGCUUAUUUGAGGAAUGAUCAAAACAGAAUUCAUUUGAACUGUGUGUUCAAACUAUGUUUGUAUGUCAGAUCAUGAGCACCAGUAUGGACUGAUUACGUGAGUAUGCAAUAUAGUAUCAUGCUAAAUCUUUAUAAACUUUAUGAUAAUGAAGCAGACUCUUGAUAAUGUGUCUCUUUUGGGGAACAGCCUUUCUCUUGUAACAGUGUUCACAUUUUUUGCACUUUUCCUCAAUGGCUCUGGCUAUUCUUGGCCAGUAGGAUCUGACUCUGUUCUGGGUAGUGGUAGAAUACUUCAUGACCCAUGUCGUCUCUUACAUCCAAGAGCCUUCUUUUCAUAUCCUCAAUUCUUCCUCUCUUUAAUUACAGCUUCAUCCUCACGAGGUGGGUCUUGAGGCUGACGGGAUAACCCAUCUGCUUCAUGGUUGGUUUGCCCUGCUCUGUACUUAACAGUGAACUGGUAGGUAUAAAGAGCAGCUAACCAGCGAUGUCCAGCAUCAUCUAGCUUGGCAGAUGUUAACACAUAUGUGAGGGGAUUGGUGUGGGUAAGUACAGUGAAACUUGUGCCAUAAAGGUAGUCAUUAAACUGCUCAUCAACAGCCCACUUUAGGACUAAGAAUUCAAGCUUGUGAGUGGGGUAGUUUCUUUCGCUUUUGCAAAGACCUCGACUGGCAUAUGCAACAACUUUGAGCUUCCCCUCCUGCUUUAGGUAGUGUGCAGCCCCCAAGCCUUCACAACAAGCAUUAGUGUGUAUGUACAACAUACAAUAGUUGUGAGUUAGGGAUGUGCAGAGAGCCCAGUAUUUGUAUUUGUAUCUGUAUCUAUGAAUUCUGUUUGUAUUAGAAUAAAACUGGAA